rfam:Paenibacillus sp. FSL R7-0331, complete genome.
CAUGUAUAAUCGCAAACCGCCCGAAAGUGCGGGACGCAAAGCCAGGAGUCUACAGCCUUUGAGAGAGGGCUACGAUCGUCCGGCCGCCGUG